GGGAUCUUGGGGGUGUCCACCGACUCCGUGCCCAAGGUGACCUGGACUAUCCUUCAGCUUCUUGCAAGAGGCUAACACCACAGAAAGUCUUGUAAAUGAUCACAGAAAUGAACUACUGGUAGCAUUGAUCUUCCCAGACUGAUAACUGCUGAAAUCCAGGUCACGGCUCACCUCACCAAACUCAAAGCAAGGAGUGAGGAGAGGGAGACUCUAGACAGCCAUUGGACUACAACCAUCGGCUCUGAAAUAAUGAGAAACUAUUGUAAGCAGACAGAUGCCUUGAUGUCUCUGAGAAGUUGCAAAAGAGACAGCUGUUUAUGAAGAUAGAAGGCAGACCGCCUGUCAAGCUGACAUGGAAUGAAGAGCUACAGUUCCAUCUUCAUUACAUCCUGAAAUUGAGCUCCAUCUUCAAAUUGAUGCCUCAGAAUCCAUAGGAGCCAUCAAGCAAAGAAAUACACCCUGACAGG